rnacentral:tRNA from 1 species
UCUUAGAUGACUGAGGGUAUAAGUGCUAGAUUUUUAAUCUAGAGACAGCAGAUAUUGCUUCUAAGAA